rnacentral:rRNA from 1 species
GAUGAACGCUGGCGGCGUGCCUAAUACAUGCAAGUCGAGCGAACAGACGAGGAGCUUGCUCCUCUGACGCUAGCGGCGGACGGGUGAGUAACACGUGGAUAACCUACCUAUAAGACUGGGAUAACUUCGGGAAACCGGAGCUAAUACCGGAUAAUAUAUUGAACCGCAUGGUUCAAUAGUGAAAGACGGUUUUGCUGUCACUUAUAGAUGGAUCCGCGCCGCAUUAGCUAGUUGGUAAGGUAACAGCUUACCAAGGCAACGAUGCGUAGCCGACCUGAGAGGGUGAUCGGCCACACUGGAACUGAGACACGGUCCAGACUCCUACGGGAGGCAGCAGUAGGGAAUCUUCCGCAAUGGGCGAAAGCCUGACGGAGCAACGCCGCGUGAGUGAUGAAGGUCUUCGGAUCGUAAAACUCUGUUAUUAGGGAAGAACAAAUGUGUAAGUAACUAUGCACGUCUUGACGGUACCUAAUCAGAAAGCCACGGCUAACUACGUG